ACCAAAAUAACUCAGUUGGGAGAGCGUUAGACUAUAGAUCAAAAGGUCCCUGGUUCGAUCCCGGGUAGUCGGCA
rnacentral:tRNA from 1 species